rnacentral:rRNA from 1 species
UAGAGUUUGAUUCUGGCUCAGAUUGAACGCUGGCGGCAGGCCUAACACAUGCAAGUCGAACGGUAACAGGAAGAAGCUUUCUUCUUUGCUGACGAGUGGCGGACGGGUGAGUAAUGUCUGGGAAACUGCCUGAUGGAGGGGGAUAACUACUGGAAACGGUAGCUAAUACCGCAUAACGUCGCAAGACCAAAAAGGGGGACCUUCGGGCCUCUUGCCAUCGGAUGUGCCCAGAUGGGAUUAGCUAGUAGGUGGGGUAACGGCUCACCUAGGCGACGAUCCCUAGCUGGUCUGAGAGGAUGACCAGCCACACUGGAACUGAGACACGGUCCAGACUCCUACGGGAGGCAGCAGUGGGGAAUAUUGCACAAUGGGCGCAAGCCUGAUGCAGCCAUGCCGGUGUAUGAAGAAGGCCUUCGGGUUGUAAAGUACUUUCAGCGGGGAGGAAGGGAGUAAAGUUAAUACCUUUGCUCAUUGACGUUACCCGCAGAAGAAGCACCGGCUAACUCCGUGCCAGCAGCCGCGGUAAU